ACCAGGUCAUAACCAGAGUUAUGACCUGGUUAUUACCUGGUCAUAACCAGAGUUAUGACCAGGUAAUAACCAGGUCAUAACCAGGUCAUAACC
rnacentral:miRNA from 1 species